AACACGGACCCCGGAGACCGGAAUAACGUCGGGAAACCGCAGCUAAUACCGGAUAAUAUUUUGAACCGCAAGGUUCAAAAGUGAAAGACGGUCUUGCUGUCACUUAUAGAUGGAUCCGCGCUGCAUUAGCUAGUUGGUAAGGUAACGGCUUACCAAGGCAACGAUGCAUAGCCGACCUGAGAGGGUGAUCGGCCACACUGGAACUGAGACACGGUCCAGACUCCUACGGGAGGCAGCAGUAGGGAAUCUUCCGCAAUGGGCGAAAGCCUGACGGAGCAACGCCGCGUGAGUGAUGAAGGUCUUCGGAUCGUAAAACUCUGUUAUUAGGGAAGAACAUAUGUGUAAGUAACUGUGCACAUCUUGACGGUACCUAAUCAGAAAGCCACGGCUAACUACGUGCCAGCAGCCGCGGUAAUACGUAGGUGGCAAGCGUUAUCCGGAAUUAUUGGGCGUAAAGCGCGCGUAGGCGGUUUUUUAAGUCUGAUGUGAAAGCCCACGGCUCAACCGUGGAGGGUCAUUGGAAACUGGAAAACUUGAGUGCACAAGAGGAAAGUGGAAUUCCCUGUGUAGCGGUGAAAUGCGCAGAAGAUAUGGAGGAACACCAGUGGCGAAGGCGACUUUCUGGUCUGUAACUGACACUCAUGUGCGAAAGCGUGGGGAUCAAACAGGGAGUACAUACCCUGGGGGGUCCCCCCCGUAAACGAUGAGUAGCUCACUGGUUAGAGAGGGUACCUCCCCCUUACUGCUGGCAGCAAACAAAGUUAAACAGC
rnacentral:rRNA from 1 species